ACGAACGCUGGCGGCGUGCUUCACACCUGCAAGUCGCACGGAAAGACCCUGCUUUUGUGGGGUGCUCGAGUGGCGAACGGGUGAGUAACACGUGAGUAACCUGCCCUUGACUUUGGGAUAACUUCAGGAAACUGGGGCUAAUACCGGAUAGGAGCUCCUGCUGCAUGGUGGGGGUUGGAAAGUUUCGGCGGUUGGGGAUGGACUCGCGGCUUAUCAGCUUGUUGGUGGGGUAGUGGCUUACCAAGGCUUUGACGGGUAGCCGGCCUGAGAGGGUGACCGGCCACAUUGGGACUGAGAUACGGCCCAGACUCCUACGGGAGGCAGCAGUGGGGAAUAUUGCACAAUGGGCGGAAGCCUGAUGCAGCAACGCCGCGUGCGGGAUGACGGCCUUCGGGUUGUAAACCGCUUUCGCCUGUGACGAAGCGUGAGUGACGGUAAUGGGUAAAGAAGCACCGGCUAACUACGUG
rnacentral:rRNA from 1 species